rnacentral:rRNA from 1 species
UACGAACUGUGCGAACGUUAUUCGGAAUCGCUGGGCUUACAGGGUGCGUAGGCGGCUCAACAAGUCAGGUGUGAAAGCCCCCGGCUCAACCGGGGAACUGCGCUUGAAACUGUUAGGCUCGAGUCAGCUAGAGGUACACGGAACUUCCAGUGGAGCGGUGAAAUGUGUUGAUAUUGGAAGGAACACCGGAGGCGAAAGCGGUGUACUGGGGCUGGUCUGACGCUGAGGCACGAAAGCCAGGGGAGCGAACGGG